GAUCCAUGGCUCAGGAUGAACGCUGGCGGCGUGCUUUAACACAUGCAAGUCGAACGAAGAUGCCGGAGUGCUUGCACUUUGGCAGACUGAGUGGCGGACGGGUGAGUAACGCGUGGGUAACCUGCCUUAUACAGGGGGAUAACAGUUGGAAACGACUGCUAAUACCGCAUAAGCGCACGGUAUCGCAUGAUACAGUGUGAAAAACUCCGGUGGUAUAAGAUGGACCCGCGUCUGAUUAGCUUGUUGGUGAGGUAACGGCCCACCAAGGCGACGAUCAGUAGCCGGCCUGAGAGGGUGAACGGCCACAUUGGGACUGAGACACGGCCCAAACUCCUACGGGAGGCAGCAGUGGGGAAUAUUGCACAAUGGGGGAAACCCUGAUGCAGCGACGCCGCGUGAGUGAUGAAGUAUUUCGGUAUGUAAAACUCUAUCAGCAGGGAAGAUAAUGACGGUACCUGACUAAGAAGCACCGGCUAAAUACGUG
rnacentral:rRNA from 1 species